ensembl:lncRNA
CAGAAAAUGAAAUGGAUUUUUAUUUACACCAGAUUUACAGAGGGUUGUGAAUAUAAUUUACAGUCAUUCCAAUCCAUUUUACAACACUUCUCUUUAUUUCUCAUCAUCACUCUGCAGACCAGGAGUAUUCUCAGGUUGAUCGUUCGUUCCACAUGAUAAGUCAAUGUUGCUAUUUACAACUCUUAUAAAACUGUACAGGAGAAUGGUCAGAUAGCCAGUAUGUGAAGCACUUAUCUCAAAGAACCUGGCUUUAAAAAGCAGCCUGUUAUAUAAAAUACAUAUUCCAAAUCUUCAACCACGGCAAAAUAAUAAAACAUACUGAACAAAAAUAUAAACGCAACAGUGUUGGUCUCAUGUUUCAUGAGCUGAAAUAAAAGAUCCCAGAAAUGUUCUAUACGCACAAAAAGCUUAUUUCUCUAAAAUGUUGUGCACAAAUUUGUUUACAUCCGUGUUAGCGAGCAUUUCUCCUUUGCCAAAAUAAUCUGCUCCUUCACCUGCGGGAUUGUCUGAGACCAGCCACCCGGACAGGUGUGGCAUAUCAAGAAGCUGAUUACACAGGUGCACCUUGUGAUGGUGACAAUAAAAGGCCACUCUAAAUGUGCAGUUUUGUCACACAACACAAGUUUUGGGGGAGUGUGAAAUUGGCAUGCUGACUGCAGGAGUGUCCACCAGAACUGUUGCCAGAGAAUUUAAUGUUAAUUUAUCUACCAUAAGCCGAAUCCAAUGUCGUUUUUUAAAGAAUUUGGCUGUAUGUCCAACCGGCCUCACAGCCGCAGACCACGUGUAACCAUGUCAGCCCAGGACCUCCACAUCUAGUUUCUUCACCUGCGGGACUGUCUGAGAUCAGCCACCCGGACAGCUGAUGGAACUGAUAAGUAUUUCUGUCUGUAAUACAGCCCUUUUGUGGGGAAAACUCAUUCUGAUUGGCUGGGCCUGGCACCUCAGAGGGUAGGUCUAGCUCCCAAGUGGCUGGGCCUAUUCCCUAUCAGGCCCACCCAUGACUGUGCCCCUGCCCUGUCAUGUGAAAUCUAUAAAUUGGGGCCUGAUUUAUUUAUUUAAAUUGACAGAUUUUCUUAUAUGAACUGUGACUCAGUAAAAUCGUUGCAUGUUGCGUUUAUAUUUUUGUUCAGUGUUUUUCUCUUCCUCCCCUCUCUCUCUCGUUUCACCCCUCCUUUGUGUUGCCAUCUUUCGAGGAAUGUGAACACUAUAAUUAUGGAAGGGAUUGCACACAUAGCUUAGUUAUUGUUCUCUAUUUUCAACUGGCUAAACCCAGCUGGGUCCUGGCCGUACGACAAAUACAUGGAGUGAGAACAAAAAAAGAGACAUUAAUUAUAUUCAAUGCUUUAAAGUCAAAGCUUGGUCUCUCUCUCUCUCUCUCUCUCUCUCUCUCUCUCUCUCUCUCUCUCUCUCUCUCUCUCUCUCUCUCUCUCUCUCUCUCUC